CCUACGGGAGGCAGCAGUGGGGAAUUUUCCGCAAUGCUCGUAAGAGUGAUGCAGCGACGCCGCGUGAAUGACGAAGGUCUUCGGGUCGUAAAGUUCUGUCGACAGGGAAGAACAUGCAUAUAAGUAACUGUGUACGUAUUGACGGUACCUGUAUAGGCAGCGCUGGCUAACUCUGUGCCAGCAGCCGCGGUAAUACGGAGGUCGCGAGCGUUAUUCGGAGUGACUGGGCGUAAAGAGCACGUAGGCGGUAUGUCAAGUCAGGGGUGAAAUCCCCGCGCUCAACGUAGGAACUGCCUUUGAUACUGGCAAACUGGAGUGUGAUAGAGGUUAGUGGAAUUCCAGGUGAAGGAGUGAAAUCCGUAGAUAUAUGGAGGAACAUCAGUGGCGAAGGCGACUAUCUGGCACAUAACUGACGCUGAGGAGCGAAAGCGUGGGGAGCAAACAGGAUUAGAUACCCGAGUAGUC
rnacentral:rRNA from 1 species